rnacentral:rRNA from 1 species
AAACUUUCAACAACGGAUCUCUUGGUUCUGGCAUCGAUGAAAAACGCAGCGAAAUGCGAUAAGUAAUGUGAAUUGCAGAAUUCAGUGAAUCAUCGAAUCUUUGAACGCACAUUGCGCCCGCCAGUAUUCUGGCGGGCAUGCCUGUUCAAGCGUCNUU